rfam:Schistosoma rodhaini strain Burundi genome assembly, scaffold: SROB_scaffold0001194
GUCCAGCUGACGAGUCCCAAAUAGAACGAAACGCGCGUCAAACUGGAU